GACGUAGGGGACGAGCGUUGUCCGGAUUCAUUGGGCGUAAAGCGCGCGUAGGCGGUUACGCAAGUCGGUUGUGAAGAUCCGGGGCUCAACCCCGGACCUGCAUCCGAUACUGCGUGACUAGAGGUAGGUAGGGGAGAUCGGAAUUCCUGGUGUAGCGGUGAAAUGCGCAGAUAUCAGGAGGAACACCGGUGGCGAAGGCGGAUCUCUGGCCCGGGUACUGACGCUGAGGUGCGAAAGCGUGGGGAGCAAAAGGG
rnacentral:rRNA from 1 species